rnacentral:tRNA from 1 species
GCUCCUCUAGUAUAAGAAAUACGUUGGUUUUGUAAACCAGAAUUGGGUCUUCCGGGGAGUA